AUGUGUCCGUCCUCCGUGCACUGCGGUUCCUGCGUGCCGCCCACACCGCCUGACGACUGCCCGCUAUGUCUUGGUAACC
rnacentral:sRNA from 1 species